GGGUGUCAAGUGGCAUGAUGCUCGCUUCGCACCUAUAACUCUUUAGUUGUCGAGCUUUGCGAGAGGUCCAGGGUUCGAUUCCCUGAGUAUCCA
rnacentral:tRNA from 1 species